rnacentral:ncRNA from 1 species
ACAAUGAUACUCCUGUCCAGCCACAGCCCCCCUUGACCGGGGGAUCACGCAAUGGGGACAGCUCGGAGAGAACCUCGGAGGGGUGAGAUUCCCGUGG